UACGUAGGGGGCAAGCGUUGUCCGGAUUUAUUGGGCGUAAAGAGCGUGUAGGCGGCCAGGCAGGUCCGCUGUGAAAACUCGAGGCUCAACCUCGAGAGGUCGGUGGAAACCGUCUGGCUAGAGUCCGGAAGAGGAGAGUGGAAUUCCCGGUGUAGCGGUGAAAUGCGCAGAUAUCGGGAAGAACACCCGUGGCGAAGGCGGCUCUCUGGGACGGUACUGACGCUGAGACGCGAAAGCGUGGGGAGCAAACAGG
rnacentral:rRNA from 1 species